rnacentral:rRNA from 1 species
GAUGAACGCUGGCGGCGUGCUUAACACAUGCAAGUCGAACGGAAAGGCCCCUGCUUGCUGGGGUACUCGAGUGGCGAACGGGUGAGUAACACGUGGGUGAUCUGCCCUGCACUUCGGGAUAAGCCUGGGAAACUGGGUCUAAUACCGGAUAGGACGAUGGUUUGGAUGCUAUUGUGGAGAGUUUUUUCGGUGUGGGAUGAGCUCGCGGCUUAUCAGCUUGUUGGUGGGGUAAUGGCCUACCAAGGCGUCGACGGGUAGCCGGCCUGAGAGGGUGUACGGCCACAUUGGGACUGAGAUACGGCCCAGACUCCUACGGGAGGCAGCAGUGGGGAAUAUUGCACAAUGGGCGGAAGCCUGAUGCAGCGACGCCGCGUGGGGGAUGACGGCCUUCGGGUUGUAGACUCCUUUCGCUUGGGACGAAGCGCAAGUGACGGUAACGGGAGAAGAAGCACCGGCUAACUACGUG